rnacentral:rRNA from 1 species
UACGGGGGGAGCAAGCGUUGUUCGGAUUUACUGGGCGUAAAGGGCGCGUAGGCGGUCAGCACAAGUCAGUUGUGAAAUCUCCGGGCUUAACUCGGAAAGGUCAACUGAUACUGUGCGACUAGAGUGCGGAAGGGGCAACUGGAAUUCUCGGUGUAGCGGUGAAAUGCGUAGAUAUCGAGAGGAACACCUGCGGCGAAGGCGGGUUGCUGGGCCGGCACUGACGCUGAUGCGCGAAAGCCAGGGGAGCGAACGGG